AUCAAUCCCAUGUCAAUAUGAAGUUGUUGCGAACCCGGAGUGCCAGCAGAGGGCAGCCUGCAUCCCUUGAUGAGCAUUAAGGCCUUUGGGAAACUCAGCAAAGACAGAAGCAGCAGAGAGAUGAGGACCAGGAAGUCUGGAGUUUCUACAUGUGAUGAAUCAGUCCACAGGGAGAUGUAGCCUGUACUCCACCUCAUCUCUGCCUAACAGUUUCACAAAGACAGCUGUGCCCAAAUGUGUUUUGCAUGACUUUGAUGCUUGGCUGCUCCUCAGAGUUUAAGUUCUUAUGUCGCAGAGAGUCUGAACUGUUUUCAUGCACUCACACUGAAAACUGCAUCAGGAUGAAGUUUCCAAUAACUCUGAUAGUCACUUUGGGCUUCCUGAGUCAGGAGUCUUCUGCCAACAACUUUCUGACUCAGGCUGACAAAUCCAAGUCUGUUAGUCUUGGAGGGACUGUGACAAUCAGUGCCACAGGGAGUUCAAACAUUGGUUACGCUCUAAGUUGGUACCUCCAGAAACCUGGACAGGCUCCCAAACUCCUGAUAUAUAGUGCAACAAGUCGAUUCUCAGGAACUCCAUCUCGAUUCAGUGGCAGUAAAUCUGGUUCAAGCUACACUCUGACCAUCAGUGGUGUUCAGGCUGAAGAUAUUGGAGAUUACUACUGUCUGGGCUACCAUUACGAUGGCACGUUCACACAGUGAUUUCGAGCCGUACAAAAACCUCCUUCAGUUUGACUGAAGUGAAAACGGCCUGCUGCAGGUGCACAGAGUUGGUGAAGAGACUGAGUCAUCAAGCAGAACCACAAUGAAUCUAAAUCAACCAGAAACAAACUCACAGAAUGUUUUUAAAAUGCAGCCUCAAGUUAAUUCUAAUUCAUUAAAUC